CACGUAGGCACCAAGCGUUGUCCGGAUUUAUUGGGCGUAAAGAGCGUGUAGGCGGCCAUGUAGGUCCGGUGUGAAAACUCGAGGCUUAACCUCGAGAUGUCAUCGGAAACCAUUUGGCUAGAGUCCGGAAGAGGAGAGUGGAAUUCCUGGUGUAGCGGUGAAAUGCGCAGAUAUCGGGAGGAACACCAAUGGCGAAGGCAGCUCGCUGGGACGUGACUGACGCUGAGACGCGAAAGCGUGGGGAGCAAACAGG
rnacentral:rRNA from 1 species